rnacentral:rRNA from 1 species
UACGUAGAGUGCAAGCGUUGUCCGGAAUUAUUGGGCGUAAAGAGCUCGUAGGCGGUUUGUCGCGUCUGCUGUGAAAAUCCGGGGCUCAACCCCGGACUUGCAGUGGGUACGGGCAGACUAGAGUGUGGUAGGGGAGACUGGAAUUCCUGGUGUAGCGGUGAAAUGCGCAGAUAUCUGGAGGAACACCGAUGGCGAAGGCAGGUCUCUGGGCCACUACUGACGCUGAGAAGCGAAAGCAUGGGGAGCGAACAGG